GUUACUGCUAUCGAGGUUCGACUAAGCCAUGCGAGUCGAAUGUAGCAAUACAUGGCGUACUGCUCAGUAACACGUGGAUAACCUACCCUUGAGUUGGGAAUAAACCCGGGAAACUGGGUAUAAUACCCGAUAGAUCUCGACUGCUGGAAUGCAUCGAGAUCCAAAGCUCCGGCGCUCAAGGAUGGAUCUGCGGCCUAUCAGGUAGUAGUGGGUGUAGCGUACCUACUAGCCUACGACGGGUACGGGUUGUKAGAGCAAGAGCCCGGAGAUGGAUUCUGAGACACGUAAUCCAGGCCCUACGGGGUGCAGCAGGCGCGAAAACUUUACAAUGCUGGAAACAGCSGAUAAGGGGACCUYGAGUKCCAGGUUACAAAUYUGGCCGUCGUGAUGCCYWAAAAGGCAUUGCWWWGCAAGGGSCCGGGCAAGDCCGGUGCCACCCCCCSCGGAAAMACCGGGGGCUCRAGUGGUAACCGUUAUUAUUGGGUCUAAAGGGUCUGUAGCCBBBCCGGAUAAGUCUCUUGGGAAAUCUGGCAGCUUAACUGUCAGGCUUUCAGGAGAUACUGUCUGGCUCGAGGCCGGGAGAGGUGAGAGGUACUUCAGGGGUAGGGGUGAAAUCUUGUAAUCCUUGAAGGACCACCAGUGGCGAAGGCGUCUCACCAGAACGGACCUGACGGCAAGGGACGAAAGCUAGGGGCACGAACCGGAUUAGAUACCCGGGUAGUCCUAGCCGUAAACGAUACUCGCUAGGUGUCGGCAACGGUGCGACCGUUGUCGGUGCCGUAGGGAAGCCGUGAAGCGAGCCACCUGGGAAGUACGGCCGCAAGGCUGAAACUUAAAGGAAUUGGCGGGGGAGCACCACAACGGGUGGAGCUUGCGGUUUAAUUGGAUUCAACGCCGGAAAUCUUACCGGGACCGACAGCAAUAUGAAGGCCAGGCUGAAGACUUUGCCGGAUUAGCUGAGAGGUGGUGCAUGGCCGUCGUCAGUUCGUACUGUGAAGCAUCCUGUUAAGUCAGGCAACGAGCGAGACCCA
rnacentral:rRNA from 1 species